rnacentral:rRNA from 1 species
AACGAACGCUGGCGGCAUGCCUAACACAUGCCAGUCGAACGAGACCUUCGGGUCUAGUGGCGCACGGGUGCGUAACGCGUGGGAACCUGCCCUUAGGUUCGGAAUAACUCCCCGAAAGGGGUGCUAAUACCGGAUAAUGUCUUCGGACCAAAGAUUUAUCGCCUUUGGAUGGGCCCGCGUUGGAUUAGCUAGUUGGUAGGGUAAAAGCCUACCAAGGCGACGAUCCAUAGCUGGCCUGAGAGGAUGAUCAGCCACACUGGGACUGAGACACGGCCCAGACUCCUACGGGAGGCAGCAGUGGGGAAUAUUGGACAAUGGGCGAAAGCCUGAUCCAGCAAUGCCGCGUGAGUGAUGAAGGCCUUAGGGUUGUAAAGCUCUUUUACCCGGGAUGAUAAUGACAGUACCGGGAGAAUAAGCUCCGGCUAACUCCGUG